rnacentral:lncRNA from 1 species
UCCUUUUGAGAAAAUACUAACCGUUUAAACGCCCUCGUCUCAAACUCUCGCUCUGUUGACUUAGAUUAUAUGAUUAAACUUAAAUGCUUAACUCUCGUCCUCACAUUUAACUUUUAAAAAUAAUUUUUGAAAAUGAUUAGAAUUUAAUUAACCUUAAAAAUUGCUUUCGCCCUGAUUUAAAGUUAAUGUUCAAUUUACAUUGUCCAGUUAAAAACUCAAACCGUCGUUCUAUUGAUUUUAACUUCUUUAUGUCUUUU